rnacentral:rRNA from 1 species
UACGAACUGUGCGAACGUUAUUCGGAAUCACUGGGCUUAAAGGGUGCGUAGGCGGCGUCCUCAGUCAGGUGUGAAAUCCCCCGGCUCAACCGGGGAACAGCGCUUGAUACUGGGAUGCUUGAGUGAGGUAGGGGUAUGUGGAACUUCCGGUGGAGCGGUGAAAUGUGUAGAUAUCGGAAGGAACGCCGGUGGCGAAAGCGACAUACUGGGCCUUGUCUGACGCUGAGGCACGAAAGCUAGGGGAGUGAACGGG